rnacentral:rRNA from 1 species
GGGUCAGUAGGUUGGUCGUGCCACCGGUACGUACUGGUCUCACUGAUUCCUCCUUCCUGAAGAACCGUAAUGCCAUUAAUUUGGUGUUGCGGGGAAACAGGACUGUUACUUUGAAAAAAUUAGAGUGUUUAAAGCAAGCUAACGCUUGAAUACACUAGCAUGGAAUAAUGAAAUAGGACGAUCGAUCCUAUUUUGUUGGGUUCUAGGACUGACGUA